AUUGAACGCUGGCGGCAGGCCUAACACAUGCAAGUCGAACGAGUGGCGGACGGGUGAGUAAUGUCUGGGCAACUGCCCGCUGGAGGGGGAUAACCACUGGAAACGGUAGCUAAUACCGCAUACCAUCGGAUGUGCCCAGAUGGGAUGAGCUAGUAGGUGGGGUAACGGCUCCCCUGGGCGACGAGCCCCAGCUGGUCUGAGAGGAUGACCGGCCACACUGGAACUGAUACACGGUCCAGACCCCUACGGGAGUCAGCGGUGGGGAAUAUUGCACAAUGGGCGCAAGCCGGAUGCAGCCAUGCCGCGUGUAUGAAGAAGGCCUUCGGGUUGGAAAGUACUUUCAGCGGGGAGGCGUUACUCGCAGAAGAAGCACCGGCUAACUCCGUGCCAGCAGCCGCGGUAAUAC
rnacentral:rRNA from 1 species